rnacentral:SRP_RNA from 1 species
UGGGUCCCGUGCGAUGUUGCGAUGUGAACCCUGUCAGGUCCGGAAGGAAGCAGCAGUAAGCAUUUUAGACGUGUGCUGCGGCCAAGCCUG